UACGUAGGGUGCAAGCGUUAAUCGGAAUUACUGGGCGUAAAGCGUGCGCAGGCGGUUCUCCAAGUCCGUUGUGAAAGCCCCGGGCUCAACCUGGGAAUGGCAGUGGAAACUAGGGGACUGGAAUCUGGCAGAGGGGGGUGGAAUGCCGCGUGUAGCAGUGAAAUGCGUAGAGAUGCGGCGGAACACCGAUGGCGAAGGCAGCCCCCUGGGCUGAGAUUGACGCUCAGGCACGAAAGCAUGGGGAUCAAACAGG
rnacentral:rRNA from 1 species